CCCCGCGUGUUCUCUCUCUCGUCCCCGAGCUCUUGCUCUCUCUCUCUCACCUCUGCAACUCCGGUUGCUUUCUCUUUCCGGCCACCAAAAAGCGUAAAACCGGUGGCUACGGACUCGUCUCGACCUCCUCUUGGUGCCUGCGGUGAUGGCUCAUGGCGGCUUGGCCGGAAAAUGACGCAUCGAGCUGUGGAAGUUUCACUGUAGCAGAAGUGGUCAACGCCAGUUUCUCCCGAUUCCGGCCACCUCCGGCGACGAACCAUAAUCAUUUGGAAGCGCCUUGCGAUGUAGAUGAUGCUCCCCAAAUAUUUUGCAGCGAUUUGAAGCGUGGAGGAAGAAUUGAAGGGCAAUGUUGCGAGCUACGGCUAGAUGAAGGAACUCGUUUGCGUGGUCGCCCAUUAGUACUUUUGCAGGCGCUAUUAGUUGAGGUCGGGCGUACAUGGAUCGAGGCAUAGUUGACGAAUAGCUUCCGCGCUUCUUUGUUUGGCUCUGAUCUAUUGUGGGUUACUAUUUUGGGUAGUCCUCUUUAGGGGUGACUCGACCAGUUCUCGGUAGAGUUAUCUCUAAGGUGGGCCCCGCAGGGCCACCUCGGAUUUCAGGGUGAAAUUCGGGGCGGGUCCUGUCAACCUAGCACUGUUCCAGCGUUCUGUCUCCCUCCAGAAGUUGCUGCCCGGCGAGCAAAGAGACAGGUACAGAUUAGGGAGCUAACAGAACCACGACAACAGGUCGAGUCUAUCCUUGGUCAACGCCGGGAUAGAGAUGGUGAUGAGGUACUUAUUUCUCCCAAGAAAAUGAAAUUGAGUUUGGCUAUUGGCAAAAAGAAUCUGGAUGCAGUAACUAUGGGACUGUUGGAAGGGCCGUCCAAGCAGGUUGAAUAACUGAAAAGAAAGAGAGGCCGACCUCUAGGAAGUGUGAAUAAAUUGCCGUAUGGCAUGGCGGGAAAGGGAAAAAUACUAAGAAUGAGGGUGACUCGGCAAAGAAGGUUCCAAACACGAGCAGGAAGACCAACCUGAUGCCGAGGUUGUUAGCUGCUGAAGGGAUUGAAGCUGGUACUCUCUCCAACCCUAAGGGGAAGGAGAUGGUGCUGUCUUAAAUCUUAUGGUGCCUAGACAUUCUGGAUGCAAGUCUUUUCAAGCGGGAAAUUUCUCUAUGAGCUUUUCUAAGAUGUUUCUAGUCUUUGUUUGUACCACAAUUGAGUGUUGGCAGAUUAGGCUAGUUGAUUGAGUUUUCCUUAGGAAGCGAGUUUUUCUUGCUUAGCUAGGCUUGCUCUCCAGCGAG